UGAAUACGAGAUGCUACGGCGUCGAAGCAGUCUAUGUCAUACUUCCAAGAAAAGCUUGCACUGUCAUAAACAAAUAAUGCCUGUACCAUAACCGACACAGGUGGGUAGGUAGAGUAUACUAAGGGGCGCGAGAUAACUCUCCCUAAGGAACUCGGCAAAAUGACUCCGUAACUUCGGGAGAAGGAGUGCCUUAUUUUAUAAGGUUGCAAUAACAAGAUCCAAGCAACUGUUUACCAAAAACACAGGUCUCCGCUAAGUCGUAAGACGAUGUAUGGGGGCUGACGCCUGCCCAGUGCCAGAAGGUUAAAGAAGUUGGUUAGCAUCCGCGAAGCUGAUAACUGAAGCCCUGGUGAACGGCGGCCGUAACCAUAACGGUCCUAAGGUAGCGAAAUUCCUUGUCGGGUAAGUUCCGACCCGCACGAAAGGCGUAAUGAUUUGGAUACUGUCUCAGAGAGGGGCUCGGUGAAAUAGACUUGUCUGUGAAGAUGCGGACUACCUGCACCAGGACAGAAAGACCCUAUGAAGCUUUACUGUAACUUGAAAUUGAAAUUGGACUUUACUUGCGCAGUAUAGGUGGGAGGCGUUGAGAAUAUUCUUGCGGGAAUGUUGGAGCCAUCAGUGAGAUACCACUCUUGUAAUGUUAGAUUUCUAACUUUGUAUCAUUAUCUGGUCAAAGGACAGUUUCAGGCGGGCAGUUUGACUGGGGCGGUCGCCUCCCAAACGGUAACGGAGGCGCACAAAGGUUUCCUCUGAACGGGUAGAAAUCGUAUCUAGAGUGUAAAGGCAUAAGGAAGCUUGACUGUGAGACCUACAAGUCGAGCAGGGACGAAAGUCGGUCUUAGUGAUCUGACGGUGCUGAGUGGAAAGGCCGUCACUCAACGGAUAAAAGUUACUCUAGGAUAACAGGCUGAUCUCCCCCAAGAGUUCACAUCGACGGGGAGGUUUGGCACCUUGAUGUCGGCUCAUCGCAUCCUGGGGCGGUAGUACGUCCCAAGGGUUGGGCUGUUCGCCCAUGAAAGCGGUACGCGAGCUGGGUUCAGAACGUCGUGAGACAGUUCGGUCCAUAUCCGGUGUAGGCGUUAGAAUAUUGAGAGGAGCCUUCUUUAGUACGAGAGGACCGAGAAGGACAUACCUCUGGUGUACCAGCUAUCGUGCCAACGGUAAACGCUGGGUAGCUAUGUAUGGAGUGGAUAACCGCUGAAAGCAUCUAAGUGGGAAGCCCACCUCAAGAUAAGUAUUCCC
rnacentral:rRNA from 1 species